rnacentral:lncRNA from 1 species
CAGGUCAUGGAUAAGACGUGUUACAGAGGUGGUGUGGUUGUUUUUUUUUCUCGUCAGAUGAGUUGAUAAAGGCAGUCUACAUGUUGGGGAGCUCCUCUGUGUCUCUUUGCCGGGAUGAAGCGCAAUUUUUAUGCCUCACUGCUGUCAGUCUGUAGACUAUUUAGACUUUUCCAUUUAUUAGCUGUUAGAAAACCAACAUUUAAAUAAGUUUUAAAAUUGGGGCUCUGUUGGAUUUAAAUCUUUGACACAUUUUGGAGUCUUCAAUGAGCCAGAAGUUUAAGAUAUACUCCUGUAGACUCCUCAGUCUGAAACAGGUUGUGAUGCCUGCAACAAAUGUGUUUCAUCUUUUGAAGUCUAGUGGGAGUUUUUGGUUUACUGCUGAUAUUAUAAAAGACAGGACCCCAACAAAUGAGAUGUUUUUUGCAUUUGAAUGAACCUUUUUUAAUACCCACAUAACUAUGAGGCUUUGUUUGGGCUUAUUUAUGAGUUUAAAACAGAGUCAGAUGAUGAAAAAACAAACCUAAGUGUAUUCCAGGAUGCACCGAACCUCUUAAAAACCUGAAGUUUUGGGGCUAAGCUGCAUGUGUGAAUAGAGUAAGAUGAAACUUUCACCUUGACUCUUUUUUUCCUGCAAGGCCUUGAGUAAUUUUUUUCAAGAAUAUAAGGAGAGCAGAUACAGGAAAUAUUCAGGAAAAUCUGCCAAAAGUAGGCCAUGACAUUUGUAAUCAAGACAAGUGGAAACUGAAAAAGCAACACGCAGUUCUGGAGAAACACAAGCACUUGAGAACGGAGAGGGAGGAUGAUUUUCAAGAUGUGAAAAGUGGAGAUCUGCCUGUGUACAUGAGGCAAAAUGCAAUAAAGUGUCAUCACAGCAUGGAUAUAUGUGGCUUCAUUCACCAUCGUGCUGCAGACAGAACACUGGUUUUCACAGUCUGGGUUUGAUGUCACCUCCUGACUCCUGAGACUUACCUUAUGUCUCCCACCUACCACCCCUGUCUCCAAGCAGGACAGACUUCAUGCUGUGAUUGAAAUUUGUGAGCAGUGAAUUUAGAAAAAUUCUCGCAAAUUUCAGGUGUAAAUGUGUGAGAAGGAGGGUGUAACUGUUUAAGUUAGCUGUGGAGUAAACUCUGACCUGUCUAAUGAGGUGAAGUUGCCUUAUUUGUAGAUGGAGUUUGGUGGCUUUAAAGAGCGUGAUGUAAAUGUUUGUCAUGGUUUGAAAAAGGAGCGAUAAUCCUAACACUACACCUGGACAAACUUUGAUAGUGUGCAUUUACCUUUAGGCUUACAUUGCAUCCUUUACUGCCUCUCUCUCUCUCUGCUUGUACUGCAGAAACCCCAAAUUUUCCAACCAAUCACUCAGCCAGAGCUUUAAUUAUGCUGUCAAAUAAAACCCAGUUUAAAAAAAUGAGAACCUCAAUCUGCUUUCAAAUUAAUUCCUCUAUUUUUGCUCUUUAAUGGUGAGUCUUUUGAAGGAUUUGGCUGAGUAAUCAACCUAAAAACAUAUAUGUCUGCAGCAUCUUGGAGCAAAUAUCUGCUCGGCUUCACACUCUGGUUCACUUAUUCAUUCAGUAUGAAAUGCUGCACAUUUCUGAUAAAUUUGGUGUAUUUUCUUAUAAAAAAUCUGGUUUUGUGUGAGAAUAAGAUAAAAGUGGUCUGUGUUUGGAGGUUUAGUAAUCAGUUGUUUGUGCUGACAGUCAUGCUGAGUUAGAGACCACAUGUUGUGCUGAUGUUUUCACUCUGGUCAGACAGCUUUAUCACAGACCUGACUUCGAUAAAUCAGUGAUAUUUGAUGUGCCCGAUUUGGUCUGAUAGAGCUGUAAGUCAGCCAGCCUGGCAGGUUUAGACACAGAUCUCAUAAAAGGAUGAUCAGUGUGUGUGUGUGUGUGUGUGUGUGUGUGUGUGUGUGUGUGUGUGUGUGUGUGUGUGUGUGUUAUACAGAGUUGGGUGGUUUCCAGACUGUGAUACCCUUGAACCUCCUCCACAUUUAGCCGAGUUAUACAGUAUUACUGUGACUGAUUAAAAUCAUGCUGCUAGGCUUCAGAGGAGCCGACUGAAUUAUUUAAGCACGUAGUCAACAUACUGCCAACAUCAUACUGAAACAAUAACAACAGAAUAAAGGCCUCUGAUAUGAAGCACACUGGGCGUUACUUCACAUAUAAUCAGCGUUUGGGUUUGCUUUAAACUUUGAAAAAACUUCUGCUAGAGGAAGUGAGAGAAAAGAAACAAAAACCUCGUUUAGACCUGACUGAGCAAGUGUGUGAACAAAGCUGCAGACUCGGGUCUCUUUUAUAGAGUGAUGCUGUCUCAUGCAAACAGCUCCAGCAUUUGCUGCGUGUGCACCAUGUGAGCUCAUCUGCGGGUAUGGAUUUAUAAUCUGUGCCCACAGAUAUGCUCAGGCUCCUUUUCUCUUGACCAGGGGGGCUCUGCAGCAGUCAGCGGGUAAUUGAUCCUGAGAUAAUCCCCCCCAAAUCUGAAAUGUCCCCGUCUCCGGCUGCACUGUUUAAUGCAAGUUUUGCACACAGUCUUGUUUAGAUUUCACAAAUCUCUGUUUGUAUCAGUGUUGAAGGGCUUAUACUGUGUUAUUAAAGUGAAGCUGUUGGGAGGAUUUGUUGACACACCUUCUGCUCCUCUCAGGGGCAGGCAGGAUUUUGAUCAGAGUGAGGUGAAAUUAAACAAUUCAGAGAGAUGGCGUGAACCCUCUGUCGGUCUUUGCACGUGUAUUUGUGUGAGAGCUGAUAUUCACACACUUGAGAAAGCACAGAUUUACAUAACUAAGUGAAGAAAUGAGGACGUGGUGCAACAGGUGUUUCUACCUCUUGCACAGGAGAAGAGAAACCUUCUGACACCUGAACAUCUGCAGCAUCUAUUUUUAGCCUGUUUGCUGUUUGGGACUAACUUCAUCGUUAGUCUAAUUGAGCUGUACAAGUGUGCAAACGUGUCUGUGUGUUUGUUUAUGAGGCGACACCCAAGUCAAAGAGACUCCCUUUUCACCUGAUCAAGUCAACCAAAGGAGGGAGAGCUUCAGGGCUGACACAGACGCCUCCUCCUGUGUGUGUAGUGGCCGCACCCUGAGUGAUUGAUCACUGUGUCUGAGUGUGGAGAAAGGCCUCAUCACUUCAUUUUGUCCUCCUCCGCUCGGCGUGAAACCCUCCAUUCAGCAGCACGUGCAGAGAGGGUGGAUUUUUACAGGAUUUGGCGUCUUUCUGCUUCAUUUAGCACAGAAUCUGCUCAUUAGGGUAUGAAUGGAGCCGGCCUGCUUCGCCUUGCAGAUGCUGUUUAAUGGAUUACACAUCGAUGAGUCAGUUAGUUGUCGUCUCAUUCCUCUCGGGCUUCUUUCCGCUCUUAAAAAGGACACUGAGUGAUGAAGAAAAGACUUAUCCUGACUCGUUUCCAUUAUCAUCAGCGCCUCUCAGGGAGCAAACUUUGUUUUAUGAGCACUAAAAGCCAAAGAGUCUUUCAUCUGUCAUUUAUCAAAAUCUAAUUAUACUCCUCACCGGGAACGCCGAGCAGGGCCCUCUCUUUUUUUUUUUUUCUGUUCCUCUUCAGCCUCGUUGCCACUCAAGUGUGAACUGCAGACAUCACAGGCCUCCCCCUCCCCUCCUGUCCCCUCCCUUAUGCUGUGAUUCUGUUAUUCUCCAUGUUUUAUUCUCUUUUCCCCUCAACCAGCCGUUAAAUUUAUUGCCGCCAUCCUGACACUUUACUCUCGUCGUCUUUCUCUCCUUCUCGCUGUCGGUCACUAUCGCUCCUCUUCUGAUGAUGCCUUUGGGUGUCAGACAGAUUCCUGACAUUCCAGUAUUGUACUCAUGACAGCUAAAGAAAAGAGAAUGGUGCAAUUAGUGCGAAGUAUGUUUGGACAUGAAGACCAUUGUUGAUAUUGUUUAGCUCGAUACUUUGGUUCAGUCCGGACUUGGCCCAGAGGGAGCCACAUCUACCCGGGACAAUGAGAUGUUUACUGUUGCUCUUUCUUCCAGUUUUUAUUUUUUUCCUUUCACUCAUGACAUCCACCUUCUCCUCACCUCCUUCCUGCAUAAACAAUGCUCUGCCGCGGGUACGAGUGUUUACUCUGCUUUUGUCGUCAUGCUGUGCGAGCCAAAGGCUGACAGGCUGUUGUUGCUGUUAUUGUUGUGUGAAAGAUAGUCGGUUUUAUCCAUAUUUGCUCAAAAUGUUGACAUUUAUCUUGGUUUACCACAUAAUUUUCUCCCUUUUAAAAAGUGGUUUUAUGGAUCUUUAAAGACUCUCAAAUGUGAUGUGGUGUGGUGGUAUAUCAGUCUUUGCAUGUGUGAGCGUGUUCAGCGGGACUCUGGCAGGCGUGGUGUGAGCCAUCUGAGUUGCAUGUGACCCUCCUGCUCAGUUGCUGGUGUUGGCAGCGGUCUCUCCCCUCACACACACACACACACACACACACAUCUCUGCAGUGUGUUACUGUCCUGCAUGUGUGAGAUUACUGAGGUUUUCUCUGCAGCUCCUUGGUGUCUAAAAAAAGCCCGCUCCCUGGAGAGGAAGCGGCUGGCCUGUGUGUCGUUGUUGUUGCUUCAGAAACUCCUGGAAGCAGCACUGAGCUGCAGAGGUGGAAGUUUCCCGUCUGCGUGCCAGGCUUCAGAGAGGAAGUGGCGGUUUUCAUUUUAUCUCCAAUCAGCAGCAGGUAUCUUCAUCUAAAUGCUUUGGGUGUUUUUUGUUGACUGAAGUUGUCAAUUUCAUGAAAGUUUUAAACCAGAAGCUGUGACUGAGUUAGAUAAAGUGAAGAGAAGGAGCGUUCCUAAAAGAGAAUGAAACUUCAAAACUGAGAAAUGUUUCUUUUUGUGUCAGAAAUCCUUCAGCAGGUUCAAACAUGAGCCUGCCUCUCUCUCUCCAUCUUUAAACUACUGCAGCCUCACAGAUAAAUCUCAGCUACUUCACUCAGCUAAAGCCAAAUUAUUCGCUUGCUGGCCGUCAGCGGAGUGAGUAUCCUCUGACACUCAGCUGUUAUAUUUGGUUCAUGCACAGUGAAGAUUUAUAUAUCUCUUUCAAGGACGCCAAAUUUACUUCGACUUAAGUCAGCACAAGAGACGGCUCUAACAGCAGGAGAAAGUAAUCUAAACAGCGUAAAGUGAGAAUCUUUGAAACCCAGGAUUUCAGAGCCUGCAGAGUCUGUGUGGUAUUGGUCUUGUGAGGACCGUUAAUCAGUCUGUCUCUGGUCUACAUAAAACUUUAUCUCCAUUUUCUAGAUCCACAUCCUGACAAACCACACGUGCUUGUUCCAUCCUGGUAGUAGAGCGUUGCAGCGGUCUGGUUUUUAGUGAACUGGUGCAUCAGAGGAAGACUGCACCACAUUGAGGCAUGAACACAUGAGCAGCAUUUAGGGCUUCGACUAAAAAACACGUUAGGAGUUUGUGGACCUGCUUUGAGCUGACUGGUGAGAAUGAUGGUGUUACAUAGUUUAGUUUCAGACCAUAGACCAGGCAUGUCCAAACUACUCCACAAAGGGCCGGUGUAGCUGCAGGUUUUUCUCCCAACCAAGCAGCAGCACACCAGACUUGAUUCAUUUCUUUAGCUGAUCUCAGUCUUCAGACGGCUGAUUGGUCAGACUGCGUGCUCGUGAUUGGUUGGAAGAAAAACCUGCAGCCACACCGGCCUUUUGUGGAGUAGUUUGGACAUGCCUGCCAUAGACUGUAUAUAGAAUGGACAGAGUCUGCCUGCUAGCACAGCACCCUCUGGUGACGGGCUGCAGUAUACGUCAUAAAUCCCACCUCCUCCAGCAAUCCCUAUGGAGCUGUGGACAAACUUUAGAAAUUAAUUACACAGAAUAUACAUUUUUCUCCCCCCUGGUUGCGAUGUUGACAUGUAGUUACUGUAAGACUGGUUUGUGAUCAAGUC